rnacentral:rRNA from 1 species
AUUGAACGCUGGCGGCAGGCCUAACACAUGCAAGUCGAACGAGUGGCGGACGGGUGAGUAAUGUCUGGGAAACUGCCUGAUGGAGGGGCAUCAAUACUGGAAACGGUAGAUAAUACCGCAUACCAUCGGAUGUGCCCAUAUUGUAUUAGCUAGUAGGUUGGGUAAAGGCUCACCGAGGCGACGUGCCCUAGCUGGUCUGAGAGGAUGACCAGCCACACUGGAACUGAGACACGGGCCAGACUCCUACGUGGGGCAGCAGUGGGGAAUAUUGCACAAUGGGCGCAAGCCUGAUGCAGCCAUGCCGCGUGUAUGAAGAAGGCCUUCGGGUUGUAAAGUACUUUCAGCGGGGAGGCGUUACCCGCAGAAGAAGCACCGGCUAACUCCGUGCCAGCAGCCGCGGUAAUUC